UGGGCGAGCGCGCGGCGCGGGGGGAAGAUGGCGGAGCCGAAGGUCCUGGUCAUCGACGGGCGCGGGCACCUCCUGGGGCGGCUGGCGGCCAUUGUGGCCAAGCA